rnacentral:rRNA from 1 species
CUACGGGUGGCUGCAGUGAGGAAUAUUGCACAAUGGGGGGAGCCCUGAUGCAGCAACGCCGCGUGGAGGAUGACGCAUUUCGGUGUGUAAACUCCUUUUAUAUGUCAAGAAAAUGACGGUAGCAUAUGAAUAAGCACCGGCUAACUCCGUGCCAGCAGCCGCGGUAAUACGGAGGGUGCAAGCGUUACUCGGAAUCACUGGGCGUAAAGGACGCGUAGGCGGGUUGGAAAGUCAGGUGUGAAAUCCUACAGCUUAACUGUAGAACUGCACUUGAAACUUCUAAUCUAGAGUAUGGGAGGGGAGAUGGAAUUAGUGGUGUAGGGGUAAAAUCCGUAGAUAUCACUAGGAAUACCUAAAGCGAAGGCGAUCUCCUGGAACAUUACUGACGCUAAGGCGUGAAAGCGUGGGGAGCAAACAGGAUUAGAUACCCCGGUAGUC